AUAUGUCUGACAUUGACUUCAGCAGUGACCCGUAUCGCAACAAGGACGAAGACGAUAUAAUUGAGUUGGAAUUUGCUGAGACGGUUCCUGAACAAGUAGAGGGGUAAGGGUUAAAUUGUGUACAUUUUUUUAAUUAUUACAUAUAGGUUGAUUUCAUUUUUGAUUUUUGUUAUAUGUUGUUUGUUGUUACAGUGAUUGUGGGAUGUUCACAAUUUAUUUUGCUGAGCAUGUCAUUCAUCAGAAGUUUGAUCAGAUUCUUAUUCCUUUCCCCAUUGCGAAGUAUCAGAAAAAGUUAUGCACAAACCUAUUUAUGCAUGCUAGGAACAAGCAGUUGGAGGGCUAUGAUACUGAUAGAGAAUUUCCAGGAAGAUUUGUUCCAGAUUUUGAUUAGUUCGGAUUUUAUUGUUUUGUUUUUAUUAAUUUUGUUGUGUAUUUUUUUUUAAGUUUUGGUGUUAUACACAACAUUUGUGUAUGGUUUAUGAUUUUUUGAUGUUCACUGG
rnacentral:lncRNA from 1 species